rnacentral:rRNA from 1 species
AUGCACGUCUAAGUACAAGCCUCAUUAAGGUGAAACCGCGAAUGGCUCAUUAAAUCACACCUAAUAUACUGGAUAGUGUCAGUUACUUGGAUAACUGCGGUAAUUCUGGAGCUAAUACAUGCGUCAAAGCCCCGAACUUUUUGUGAGGGGCGCUUUUAUUAGAUGAAAACCAAACGACUUCGGUCGUCCCUUUGGUGAUUCUGAAUAACUUUCGGCUGAUCGUACGGCCAAGCGCCGACGACGUAUCUUUCUAAGGUGUGCCCUAUCAACUUUCGACUGUGGCAUAGACGCCCACAGUGGUUUUGACGGGUAACGGGGAAUCAGGGUUCGAUUCCGGAGAGGGAGCCUGAGAAACGGCUACCACUUCUAAGGAAGGCAGCAGGCACGCAAAUUACCCACUGGUCGAAGACCGAGGUAGUGACGAAAAAUAACGAUACCGGACCCAUCCGAGGCCCGGUAAUCGGAAUGAGUACACUUUAAAUCCUUUAACGAGGAACAAUUGGAGGGCAAGUCUGGUGCCAGCAGCCGCGGUAAUUCCAGCUCCAAUAGCGUAUAUUAAUGUUGUUGCGGUUAAAAAGCUCGUAGUUGGAUCUCAACACGUCGCGGGCGGUUCGUUAUUCGACGUUACUGCCCCGUCGAUGUGUGUGUUUUGACGGAAGCUUCGGGGUGAUCUUAAUCGAUUGUCUCGUAGUGCCGUCAGGUUUACUUUGAAAAAAUUAGAGUGCUCAAAGCAGGCUUUACACGCUUGAAUAUCUGUGCAUGGAAUAAUGGAAUAGGACACUGUUUCUAUUUUGUUGGUUUUCGGAAAUCGGUGUAAUGAUUAAUAG